rnacentral:rRNA from 1 species
GACGAACGCUGGCGGCGUGCUUAACACAUGCAAGUCGAACGGAAAGGCCCUGCUUUUGCGGGGUGCUCGAGUGGCGAACGGGUGAGUAACACGUGAGUAACCUGCCCUUGACUUUGGGAUAACUUCAGGAAACUGGGGCUAAUACCGGAUAGGAGCUCCUGCUGCAUGGUGGGGGUUGGAAAGUUUCGGCGGUUGGGGAUGGACUCGCGGCUUAUCAGCUUGUUGGUGGGGUAGUGGCUUACCAAGGCUUUGACGGGUAGCCGGCAUGAGAGCGUGACCGGCCACAAUGGGACUGAGAGACGGCCCAGACUCCUACGGGAGGCAGCAGUGGAGAAUAUGGCACAAUGGGCGGAAGCCUGAUGCAGAAGCGCCGCGUGCGGGAUGACGGCCUUCGGGUUAUAAACCGCUUUCGCAUGUGACGAAGCGUGAGUGACGGUAAUGGGUAAAGAAGCACCGGCUAACUACGUG